AGAGUUUGAUCCUGGCUCAGGACGAACGCUGGCGGCGUGCCUAAUACAUGCAAGUAGAACGCUGAAGAGAGGAGCUUGCUCUUCUUGGAUGAGUUGCGAACGGGUGAGUAACGCGUAGGUAACCUGCCUUGUAGCGGGGGAUAACUGUUGGAAACGAUAGCUAAUACCGCAUAACAAUGGAUGACACAUGUCAUUUAUUUGAAAGGGGCAAUUGUUCCACUACAAGAUGGACCUGCGUUGUAUUAGCUAGUAGGUGAGGUAAUGGCUCACCUAGGCGACGAUACAUAGCCGACCUGAGAGGGUGAUCGGCCACACUGGGACUGAGACACGGCCCAGACUCCUACGGGAGGCAGCAGUAGGGAAUCUUCGGCAAUGGGGGCAACCCUGACCGAGCAACGCCGCGUGAGUGAAGAAGGUUUUCGGAUCGUAAAGCUCUGUUGUAAGUCAAGAACGGGUGUGAGAGUGGAAAGUUCACACUGUGACGGUAGCUUACCAGAAAGGGACGGCUAACUACGUGCCAGCAGCCGCGGUAAUACGUAGGUCCCGAGCGUUGUCCGGAUUUAUCGGGCGUAAAGCGAGCGCAGGCGGUUUGAUAAGUCUGAAGUUAAAGGCUGUGGCUCAACCAUAGUUCGCUUUGGAAACUGUCAAACUUGAGUGCAGAAGGGGAGAGUGGAAUUCCAUGUGUAGCGGUGAAAUGCGUAGAUAUAUGGAGGAACACCGGUGGCGAAAGCGGCUCUCUGGUCUGUAACUGACGCUGAGGCUCGAAAGCGUGGGGAGCGAACAGGAUAGAUACCCUGGUAGUCCACGCCGUAAACGAUGAGUGCUAGGUGUUGGAUCCUUUCCGGGAUUCAGUGCCGCAGCUAACGCAUUAAGCACUCCGCCUGGGGAGUACGACCGCAAGGUUGAAACUCAAAGGAAUUGACGGGGGCCCGCACAAGCGGUGGAGCAUGUGGUUUAAUUCGAAGCAACGCGAAGAACCUUACCAGGUCUUGACAUCCCGAUGCUAUUUCUAGAGAUAGAAAGUUACUUCGGUACAUCGGCGACAGGUGGUGCAUGGUUGUCGUCAGCUCGUGUCGUGAGAUGUUGGGUUAAGUCCCGCAACGAGCGCAACCCCUAUUGUUAGUUGCCAUCAUUCAGUUGGGCACUCUAGCGAGACUGCCGGUAAUAAACCGGAGGAAGGUGGGGAUGACGUCAAAUCAUCAUGCCCCUUAUGACCUGGGCUACACACGUGCUACAAUGGUUGGUACAACGAGUUGCGAGUCGGUGACGGCGAGCUAAUCUCUUAAAGCCAAUCUCAGUUCGGAUUGUAGGCUGCAACUCGCCUACAUGAAGUCGGAAUCGCUAGUAAUCGCGGAUCAGCACGCCGCGGUGAAUACGUUCCCGGGCCUUGUACACACCGCCCGUCACACCACGAGAGUUUGUAACACCCGAAGUCGGUGAGGUAACCUUUUGGAGCCAGCCGCCUAAGGUGGGACAGAUGAUUGGGGUGAAGUCGUAACAAGGUA
rnacentral:rRNA from 1 species